CCUCAUGGUGGAGGGUGGAAAGUUUUUCGGUCAGGGAUGGGCUCGCGGCCUAUCAGCUUGUUGGUGGGGUAACGGCCUACCAAGGCGAUUACGGGUAGCCGGCCUGAGAGGGCGACCGGCCACACUGGGACUGAGACACGGCCCAGACUCCUGCGGGAGGCAGCAGUGGGGAAUAUUGCGCAAUGGGCGAAAGCCUGACGCAGCGACGCCGCGUGGGGGAUGACGGCCUUCGGGUUGUAAACCUCUUUUACCACCAACGCAGGCUCGAAGUUCUCUUCGGGUUGACGGUAGGUGGGGAAUAAGGACCGGCUAACUACGUGCCAGCAGCCGCGGUAAUACGUAGGGUCCGAGCGUUGUCCGGAAUUAUUGGGCGUAAAGAGCUCGUAGGCGGCGUGUCACGUCUGCUGUGAAAGACCGGGGCUUAACUCCGGUUCUGCAGUGGAUACGGGCAUGCUAGAGGUAGGUAGGGGAGACUGGAAUUCCUGGUGUAGCGGUGAAAUGCGCAGAUAUCAGGAGGAACACCGGUGGCGAAGGCGGGUCUCUGGGCCUUACCUGACGCUGAGGAGCGAAAGCAUGGGGAGCGAACAGGAUUAGAUACCCUGGUAGUCCAUGCCGUAAACGUUGGGCGCUAGGUGUGGGGACUUUCCACGGUUUCCGCGCCGUAGCUAACGCAUUAAGCGCCCCGCCUGGGGAGUACGGCCGCAAGGCUAAAACUCAAAGGAAUUGACGGGGGCCCGCACAAGCGGCGGAGCAUGUUGCUUAAUUCGACGCAACGCGAAGAACCUUACCAAGGUUUGACAUCACCCGUGGACUCGCAGAGAUGUGAGGUCAUUUAGUUGGCGGGUGACAGGUGGUGCAUGGCUGUCGUCAGCUCGUGUCGUGAGAUGUUGGGUUAAGUCCCGCAACGAGCGCAACCCUUGUUCCAUGUUGCCAGCACGUAAUGGUGGGGACUCAUGGGAGACUGCCGGGGUCAACUCGGAGGAAGGUGGGGAUGACGUCAAGUCAUCAUGCCCCUUAUGUCUUGGGCUGCAAACAUGCUACAAUGGCCGGUACAAUGGGCGUGCGAUACCGUAAGGUGGAGCGAAUCCCU
rnacentral:rRNA from 2 species